AACGAACGCUGGCGGCAGGCUUAACACAUGCAAGUCGAACGCACCGCAAGGUGAGUGGCAGACGGGUGAGUAACACGUGGGGAUCUGCCCAAUGGUACGGAAUAGCUCCGGGAAACUGGAAUUAAUACCGUAUGUGCCCUUCGGGGGAAAGAUUUAUCGCCAUUGGAUGAACCCGCGUCGGAUUAGCUAGUUGGUGUGGUAAAGGCGCACCAGGGCGACGAUCCGUAGCUGGUCUGAGAGGAUGAUCAGCCACACUGGGACUGAGACACGGCCCAGACUCCUACGGGAGGCAGCAGUGGGGAAUAUUGGACAAUGGGCGCAAGCCUGAUCCAGCCAUGCCGCGUGAGUGAUGAAGGCCUUAGGGUUGUAAAGCUCUUUCGCCGACGAAGAUAAUGACGGUAGUCGGAGAAGAAGCCCCGGCUAACUUCGUGCCAGCCGCCGCUGUAACAC
rnacentral:rRNA from 1 species